UUUCUCUUCAGCCCUAAUUCCCACUCUUUUUCACUUUUAAGCCACCAUUUCCCCCCUUUUCAUUGUGCUUGAAAAUUCGUUGCUUUCUCUUCCAUUUUUUCACUUUAUGUUGUUCUAAUCGCAUAUGGUUCGAUUGCUUGUCCUGUGGUUGCUUCUACUGUUGUACGUUUGUGACAGGUUGCAGCAUUGAAGCAGCUACCUAGGUCCAGGACCUGAUCAAUUCUUGUACUGGAGAUAUAAGACUAAUAAAAAUCUCUCAUCACUUGCACUAACAGUUGCAGAAGACCCCAAUAGAAAGUGCAAGCAAAUGUAGUAAAGAGCAACUAAUUCUUUCAGUUCCGCAAGAUUAUGGGGCUCUAAAACAGAGAUGGUUCAACGAUUGAAAGGUUUCUAGAUGCGCAUUGGUAUUUGCACGAUCAAGAGGAAAAAACGGGAAAGACCUUUAAUGGAGAAGCUAUUUGAUAG